GUGUCAGCAGCCGCGGUAAGACGGAAGGUGCAAGCGUUGCUCGGAAUCACUGGGCGUAAAGGGUGCGUAGGCGGCUUGGUAAGUCGGGUGUGAAAGCCCCGGGCUCAGCCUGGGAAGGGCACUCGAAACUGUCGAGCUGGAGUGCCGGAGGGGAGAGUGGAAUUCCUGGUGUAGCGGUGAAAUGCGUAGAUAUCAGGAGGAAUACCGGUGGCGAAAGCGACUCUCUGGACGGCAACUGACGCUGAGGCACGAAAGCGUGGGGAGCAAACAGGAUUAGAUACCCGCGUAGUCC
rnacentral:rRNA from 1 species